UGGGGAAUUUUGGACAAUGGGCGAAAGCCUGAUCCAGCAAUGCCGCGUGUGUGAAGAAGGCCUUCGGGUUGUAAAGCACUUUUGUCCGGAAAGAAAUCCUUGGCUCUAAUACAGUCGGGGGAUGACGGUACCGGAAGAAUAAGCACCGGCUAACUACGUGCCAGCAGCCGCGGUAAUACGUAGGGUGCAAGCGUUAAUCGGAAUUACUGGGCGUAAAGCGUGCGCAGGCGGUUUGCUAAGACCGAUGUGAAAUCCCGGGCUCAACCUGGGAACUGCAUUGGUGACUGGGCAGGCUAGAGUAUGGCAGAGGGGGGUAGAAUUCCACGUGUAGCAGUGAAAUGCGUAGAGAUGUGGAGGAAUACCGAUGGCGAAGGCAGCCCCCUGGGCCAAUACUGACGCUCAUGCACGAAAGCGUGGGGGAGCAAACAGGAUUAGAUACCCUGGUAGUCCACGCCCUAAACGAUGUCAACUAGGUUGUUGGGGAUUCAUUUCCUUAGUAACGUAGCUAACGCGU
rnacentral:rRNA from 1 species